GAUGAACGCUGGCGGCGUGCCUAAUACAUGCAAGUCGAGCGAACGGACGAGAAGCUUGCUUCUCUGAUGUUAGCGGCGGACGGGUGAGUAACACGUGGAUAACCUACCUAUAAGACUGGGAUAACUUCGGGAAACCGGAGCUAAUACCGGAUAAUAUUUUGAACCGCAUGGUUCAAAAGUGAAAGACGGUCUUGCUGUCACUUAUAGAUGGAUCCGCGCUGCAUUAGCUAGUUGGUAAGGUAACGGCUUACCAAGGCAACGAUGCAUAGCCGACCUGAGAGGGUGAUCGGCCACACUGGAACUGAGACACGGUCCAGACUCCUACGGGAGGCAGCAGUCGGGAAUCUUCCGCAAUGGGCGAAUGCCUGACGGAGCAACGCCGCGUGAGUCAUGAAGGUCUUCGGAUCGUAAAGCUCUGUUAUUAGGGAAGAACAUAUGUGUAAGUACCUGUGCACAUCUUGACGGUACCUAAUCAGAAAGCCACGGCUAACUACGUG
rnacentral:rRNA from 1 species